AUUUUACGAAUGCGUUUUCGUCUGAAUUAUUUAUUGGGUUAGAAAAAUCUUUUUUCUCUCAACUUUUUAUCUUCAGUAUCCCUUCGACUUCUUCUCUUUCUCACGGGUGAAACAGAGACUGCUAGGUUACAGAGAAGUAGAUGAAACACAACAAACAACAGAUUUCAAGCAAAAAGAUUUGGAACAUGGGGAAGAACACGAAGGAGGCUACGCCUCGACCUCCGAUGAACACCGACGGCAUGGAGAUUCAGUUAUCCGGGUCACCACUACGACGGGGUGUCAAUGCCAGCCGAUAGAACUGUCGCCGGUGUACCUUCAAAGCACCGCCGUCUCGGAGGGGGUCAUGCGGCCACAUAACGUCGGAUUCGCAAAGAACACCGACUCCCUAUCUCUUCACAUUGACUGCGAAGAUGCUCCACCACUCAUAGGUCCGAACAAUCACAUGAUCCUCCUCCUACACUCACUGGUCAAGAAGUAACUACGUCAGAAAGUAAACAAACCUGGAGAACCGCCUUCUCCGUGGUAGAUCCUCCGUCAAACGAGCCCCUCCCGACAGAUCGAUACAAACCCUAGAAAUCUCAAUGACUGAUUUUCGGUAUUCGCCGGGGCUCCACCGUCCUCUAGCAGAGCAACACCUUCGACCAACGAGCCGCUAGGACCUCUGAGGCACUCCUAGGGAUCCGCCGCGCCAUGGAUCAAAAAACGGUAUCGGAAAAAGGAGAAGAGAAGCACCACUGAAACGUCACCGGACGCCAACUACUUCGUCAGUAAGCUCAGACGCCGAAGGAGGGGGUGGGUGGGAGCGGGCCUGACUAUCCGACCAAGCUCACCGCAGGUAGGAAUGGCUCCACCCGAAAACGCGAUCUCAAAAAGUUGGGAGAGAAAGAGGGGCGUCGUAAGCAACUUUUCUUCUCUUUCUCACUCUCCGUUGAACGUUUUUCUCUUCAACGUUGCAGUGAAUUUUCAGUUCUCCAAUCAUGAUGGCUUCUAGAAUCAAGGAAAACGCAAGUGUUGUGACUGUGGUAGGCAAGACUUUUGAUCGUCCCGACAAUGUUCUUUUGAGGUACAUAGACCAUGGUGUGUGAAUUGUGAGGCAUUGAGAAACACAUGUCUAUAAUCUGGCUUAGCAGUUCAAAAGCUUUUGAAAAUCAUUUUUUGAAAUCAUUACGCAUCAGCUAAUGAGCAGCCUAAACUACAGGUGAAUUAAAUUUUACCUAAAACAUACUGGUGAAUCUUAUUGAUUUGUUGAUGACAGAUUAAUGAUUAUCCGACGUCAUUGUUCUACUACAUAUCUGGUGAAAAAUAGAAGCAAGUAAUAUUCAUUGAGCUUCACUAGCUCAAGUCCUUAUCGCCUUCAUAACAAGAUCAAUUUGCAGUUAAAACUAUCGACUGAAUUGAGUGUCCAUGACAUGACUUAUUCAUCAACAAGAGGUAGUAAUGCUAAGAAUGAAAUGUAGUCAUAGGAAACGUAGACAUAAAAAGGGACAGAGAAAUAUCAUAAUGUUAUAUUACAUGAUUAUGAUACUUACUAUAUGUAACUGGAAAAGAUAGAAAUUCAAUUUGUGAGAAUCUGUGAUUCAAAAAACUGAAGUUGCAUUUUAAAUUGUAUGGUAGCAAAUCCAAUUUGACGAAAGGAAAAAAGAAUAUUAGUAGUCUCUGCAAUAAAGUUUUUUUUUUAAAUUA